rnacentral:rRNA from 1 species
GCUUACGGUCACACUACUCUGAGAACGCGUGAUCUCGUCUGAUCUUGGAAGCUAAGCAGGGUUUGGCCUGAUUAGUACUUGGAUGGGAGACCACCUGGGAAUACCAGGUGCUGUAAGCU